CAGUCGAACGGUAACAGGUCUUCGGAUGCUGACGAGUGGCGGACGGGUGAGUAAUGCGUAGGAAUCUGUCUUUUAGUGGGGGACAACCCAGGGAAACUUGGGCUAAUACCGCAUGAGCCCUGAGGGGGAAAGCGGGGGAUCUUCGGACCUCGCGCUAAGAGAGGAGCCUACGUCCGAUUAGCUAGUUGGCGGGGUAAAGGCCCACCAAGGCGACGAUCGGUAGCUGGUCUGAGAGGACGACCAGCCACACUGGGACUGAGACACGGCCCAGACUCCUACGGGAGGCAGCAGUGGGGAAUUUUUCGCAAUGGGGGCAACCCUGACGAAGCAAUGCCGUGUGGAUGAAGAAGGCCUUCGGGUUGUAAAGUCCUUUCGUGGAGGACGAAAAGGUGGGUUCUAAUACAAUCUGCUAUUGACGUGAAUCCAAGAAGAAGCACCGGCUAACUCCGUGCCAGCAGCCGCGGUAAUACGGGGGGUGCAAGCGUUAAUCGGAAUCACUGGGCGUAAAGGGUGCGUAGGCGGUACGUUAGGUCUGUCGUGAAAUCCCCGGGCUCAACCUGGGAAUGGCGGUGGAAACCGGUGUACUAGAGUAUGGGAGAGGGUGGUGGAAUUCCAGGUGUAGCGGUGAAAUGCGUAGAGAUCUGGAGGAACAUCAGUGGCGAAGGCGGCCACCUGGCCCAAUACUGACGCUGAGGCACGAAAGCGUGGGGAGCAAACAGGAUUAGA
rnacentral:rRNA from 1 species